CCUACGGGCGACAGCAGUGGGGAAUAUUGCACAAUGGGGGAAACCCUGAUGCAGCGACGCCGCGUGAGUGAAGAAGUAUUUCGGUACGUAAAGCUCUAUCAGCAGGGAAGAAAAUGACGGUACCUGACUAAGAAGCCCCGGCUAACUACGUGCCAGCAGCCGCGGUAAUACGUAGGGGGCAAGCGUUAUCCGGAUUUACUGGGUGUAAAGGGAGCGUAGACGGCAGCGCAAGUCUGGAGUGAAAUCCCAUGGCUUAACCAUGGAACUGCUUUGGAAACUGUGCAGCUAGAGUGCAGGAGAGGUAAGCGGAAUUCCUAGUGUAGCGGUGAAAUGCGUAGAUAUUAGGAGGAACACCAGUGGCGAAGGCGGCUUACUGGACUGUAACUGACGUUGAGGCUCGAAAGCGUGGGGAGCAAACAGGAUUAGAUACCCCGGUAGUC
rnacentral:rRNA from 1 species